rnacentral:lncRNA from 1 species
AAAAAUAUCAGUUGACGGAUAUUGAUGGAAAUAUUUUUCCAAAUUUUGGAAACCACGUAUAUUGGAAUAUCCGGAUAUUUUAAACCUCGAAGAAACUUCAAAUGCACCUUCUCGUUGUCCAUUCAAAGAGGGCACAGUGUUUUUUGUCUUGUACUAAAAUGUACAUUGUCCGAUACAAGCUAAUAAAUUAAACUUGGGAAGAAAAAAAAAAAUUGGGGGAAUGGGAAAAUGAAAAAUAAAUGUGAAAUUAAAAAAAAUAAAGAGCGACUUGAGAGACGACUUACUUUGUAGGAAUGGGAUACUCCGGGAAAAACUUGGCCAAAAUUUCAACGACAUCGCCGCGGUGAAGCACGCUCUCGGCACAGAGGUAGCGGCCGGAGGCAGAGGGAGCUUCGAAAACGAGGAUGUGGGCGAGGGCUACGUCCUUAACGUGGACAUAGGCUUGAACGGAGUUUGCAUAUGUUUUGGCGGAGCCGGUGAGGUACUUGAGGAUGUGAAUAAUGCUGGCAUUAACAGUGGAUUGAAGCAAUGGUCCUAGCACCAGCACUGGGUUCACCACCACAAGGUCCACCUCUUUCUCCUUCGCAACCUCCCAUGCCGCCUGCUCCGCCACCGCCUUUCCGUAACAAUACCAAUUCUGCAUUUUCCUCUCAGUUAAUCAAAAAUCUUGUUUUUGGGUGAGUCAAAUUUUAUUUUAGUGCCGUUCCGUUACCUUUGGGACAUGAAAGACAAGUCUGAUGAUUAUAGGUUGAAGAAGAAGCGAAAAUGUUGAAAAAAAAUGAUGAAAAUUAGGGGUAAAUAGUGUUGAAGAAAAAAAGAUAGGUGGGAAGACCUUGGUGUUCUUGCAGAAUUCAAGAUCACUCCAACAGCUCUCGUCCACAACUUGAUCUGGGCUCCUGUUGGGGUCCAUGUACACUGCUCCAAUCGAUGAUGUGAACACCACUCUCCGGACUUUGGCCUCAGCCGCUGCUAUUAUCACAUUCUUUGUUCCAUUCACGGCUGGUUCCACCAUCUCUUCCUUCAAAAAUCAACAAACAUAAUCAUCUCUUUGUUUGGUCACUAAGACAAUCCUGAAUACCAUUGACUGGUACAAAGGGACCACUUUCAACUUUGUUGGUGGGAAUGAUUGUCAUUGCUUACACCAACUACCAACGCACCAAAUAUAAAAUUCCUUAUUUUUUCUUUCUUUUUUCCUCGGGGAAAACAGAGAUAAGAACUCACUGGAUCAUCGGUGACAGGAGAAGCAGUGUGGAAAACUCCAUGGCACCCAUUGAUGGCCUCUUUCAGACUCUCAUAAUCCAUAAGAUCAGCUUUGCAUAAAAUCAAUCUCUCCUUUGCUCCUUCAAGCUCUCUCAAAUGAGAAUUCUUUGGAUCAUCUGUAAUCCCAUAAAAAUAAAAUUAAAAAAAAAGAGUAUUGUUACAGAAAUGGCGCAAGCCUCAGAGGUAUGCCUCUUCAAUGCCACAAAUGAGACCUUAGCUCACUAGAAAUCACAUCACAUGUGUCUACCCACCUGGAUUUCUAACAGUUCCUUUAACAGUAUAGCCCCUUUCAAGAAGCAGCUUGACGAUCCAUGAGGCGAUGAAGCCGCCGGCGCCGGUGACGCAAACGAUUUGGCCGGAGCUGGAAGGGGAAGAGGCGUCAAUGGGCAUGAUUGGGAAGAGUGGUUGGUGG